rnacentral:rRNA from 1 species
ACAUGCAAGUCSAACGGUAACAGGAAGCAGCUUGCUGCUUUGCUGACGAGUGGCGGACGGGUGAGUAAUGUCUGGGAAACUGCCUGAUGGAGGGGGAUAACUACUGGAAACGGUAGCUAAUACCGCAUAACGUCSCAAGACCAAAGAGGGGGACCUUCGGGCCUCUUGCCAUCAGAUGUGCCCAGAUGGGAUUAGCUAGUAGGUGGGGUAACGGCUCACCUAGGCGACGAUCCCUAGCUGGUCUGAGAGGAUGACCAGCCACACUGGAACUGAGACACGGUCCAGACUCCUACGGGAGGCAGCAGUGGGGAAUAUUGCACAAUGGGCGCAAGCCUGAUGCAGCCAUGCCGCGUGUAUGAAGAAGGCCUUCGGGUUGUAAAGUACUUUCAGCGGGGAGGAAGGCGAUGYGGUUAAUAACCGCGUCGAUUGACGUUA